rnacentral:rRNA from 1 species
GUGAAGCCAAGCUUGCUUGGUGGAUCAGUGGCGAACGGGUGAGUAACACGUGAGCAACCUGCCCUGGACUCUGGGAUAAGCGCUGGAAACGGCGUCUAAUACUGGAUAUGAGCCCCUAUCGCAUGGUGGGGGUUGGAAAGAUUUUUUGGUCUGGGAUGGGCUCGCGGCCUAUCAGCUUGUUGGUGAGGUAAUGGCUCACCAAGGCGUCGACGGGUAGCCGGCCUGAGAGGGUGACCGGCCACACUGGGACUGAGACACGGCCCAGACUCCUACGGGAGGCAGCAGUGGGGAAUAUUGCACAAUGGGCGAAAGCCUGAUGCAGCAACGCCGCGUGAGGGAUGACGGCCUUCGGGUUGUAAACCUCUUUUAGCAGGGAAGAAGCGAAAGUGACGGUACCUGCAGAAAAAGCGCCGGCUAACUACGUGCCAGCAGCCGCGGUAAUACGUAGGGCGCAAGCGUUAUCCGGAAUUAUUGGGCGUAAAGAGCUCGUAGGCGGUUUGUCGCGUCUGCUGUGAAAUCCCGAGGCUCAACCUCGGGCCUGCAGUGGGUACGGGCAGACUAGAGUGCGGUAGGGGAGAUUGGAAUUCCUGGUGUAGCGGUGGAAUGCGCAGAUAUCAGGAGGAACACCGAUGGCGAAGGCAGAUCUCUGGGCCGUAACUGACGCUGAGGAGCGAAAGGGUGGGGAGCAAACAGGCUUAGAUACCCUGGUAGUCCACCCCGUAAACGUUGGGAACUAGUUGUGGGGACCAUUCCACGGUUUCCGUGACGCAGCUAACGCAUUAAGUUCCCCGCCUGGGGAGUACGGCCGCAAGGCUAAAACUCAAAGGAAUUGACGGGGACCCGCACAAGCGGCGGAGCAUGCGGAUUAAUUCGAUGCAACGCGAAGAACCUUACCAAGGCUUGACAUAUACGAGAACGGGCCAGAAAUGGUCAACUCUUUGGACACUCGUAAACAGGUGGUGCAUGGU